UCUCCUCGGCCGGUUCGGGCCCCGGUGGCCAGCUUGAUGCCCCCGCCCCGGGCAGCUUGCGAAGUCGUGGAAAAAACUGCAAGUUUUAACGUGCUUUGGCCCAAGAGGGAAAAGAAAUCCGUUUUUCCUCCGUGUGUUCCAAAGCACAGGUCAUUGACUACUGUCCUGAGAUGUGGACGUUUCUAGCCUUGGAUUUUACCUUGACAUAUGGAACCCUCUGAAGAGGCAGGAACCUUGAGGUCAAGACACCUGUGUGAUGAAGAAGGAAUAACGAGGGAG